rnacentral:rRNA from 1 species
UACGUAGGGGGCUAGCGUUGUCCGGAAUCAUUGGGCGUAAAGAGCGUGUAGGCGGUCCGGUAAGUCCGCUGUGAAAGUCAAAGGCUCAACCUUUGAAAGCCGGUGGAUACUGUGGGACUAGAGUACGGAAGAGGCGAGUGGAAUUCCUGGUGUAGCGGUGGAAUGCGCAGAUAUCAGGAGGAGCACCAAUAGCGAAGGCAGCUCGCUGGGACGUUACUGACACUGAGGCGCGAAAGCGUGGGGAGCGAACAGG